rnacentral:rRNA from 1 species
UACGGAAGGCAGCAGUGGGGAAUAUUGCACAAUGGGCGAAAGCCUGAUGCAGCUAUGCCGCGUGUAUGAAGAAGGCCUUAGGGUUGUAAAGUACUUUCAUCGGGGAGGAAAAAACAAAACUAAUAAUUUUAUUUCUUGACGUUACCCGAAAAAGAAGCACCGGCUAACUCCGUGCCAGCAGCCGCGGUAAUACGGAGGGUGCUAGCGUUAAUCAGAAUUACUGGGCGUAAAGAGCACGUAGGUGGUUUUUUUAAGUCAGAUGUGAAAUCCCUGGGCUUAACCUAGGAACUGCAUUUUGAAACUGAAAUACUAGAGUAUCGUAGAGGGAGGUAGAAUUCUAGGUGUAGCGGUGAAAUGCGUAGAUAUCUGGAGGAAUACCUGUGGCGAAAGCGGCCUCCUAAACGAAUACUGACACUGAGGUGCGAAAGCUGGGGAGCAAACAGGGAUUAGAUA